rnacentral:rRNA from 1 species
GACGAACGCUGGCGGCGUGCUUAACACAUGCAAGUCGAACGGAAAGGCCCUGCUUUUGUGGGGUGCUCGAGUGGCGAACGGGGGAGUAACACGUGAGUAACCUGCCCUUGACUUUGGGAGAACUUCAGGAAACUGGGGCGAAUACCGGAUAGGAGAUCCUGCUGCAUGGUGGGGGUUGGAAAGUUUCGGGGGUUGGGGAUGGACUCGCGGCUUAUCAGCUUGUUGGUGGGGUAGUGGCGUACCAAGGCUUUGACGGGUAGCCGGCCUGAGAGGGUGACCGGCCACAUUGGGACUGAGAUACGGCCCGUACUGCUACGGGAGGCAUCGGUGGGGAAUAUUGCAAAAUGGGCGGAAGCCGUAUGCAGCAACUUCGCGUGCGGGAACACUGCCGUCGGGGUGUAACCCGCUUUCGCCUGUGACGAAGCGUGAGUGACGGUAAUGGGUAAAGAAGCACCGGCUAACUACGUG